CCAGUCGUAACAAGGUUUCCGUAGUGAACCUGCGGAAGGAUCAUUA
rnacentral:rRNA from 1 species